GAUGAACGCUGGCGGCGUGCCUAAUACAUGCAAGUCGAGCGAACGGACGAGAAGCUUGCUUUUCUGAUGUUAGCGGCGGACGGGUGAGUAACACGUGGAUAACCUACCUAUAAGACUGGGAUAACUUCGGGAAACCGGAGCUAAUACCGGAUAAUAUUUUGAACCGCAUGGUUCAAAAGUGAAAGACGGUCUUGCUGUCACUUAUAGAUGGAUCCGCGCUGCAUUAGCUAGUUGGUAAGGUAACGGCUUACCAAGGCAACGAUGCAUAGCCGACCUGAGAGGGUGAUCGGCCACACUGGAACUGAGACACGGUCCAGACUCCUACGGGAGGCAGCAGUAGGGAAUCUUACGCAAUGGGCGAAAGCCUGACGGAGCAACGCCGCGUGAGUGAUGAAGGUCUUCGGAUCGGAAAACUCUGUUAUUAGGGAAGAACAUAUGUGUAAGUAACUGUGCACAUCUUGACGGUACCUAAUCAGAAAGCCACGGCUAACUACGUG
rnacentral:rRNA from 1 species